CCUCUUGAAAAUGGACUCCUGUGAUUUUGCUUCAGAAGGAAGGAUCUCAGAGGUUAACAGCUGACACAUUUUUAGAAGAAAAGACAGGCCCUUGGAGGGUUAGUGGCUGGUGACAGUGAGUCAGGACUGUCCUCAUCUCAAGACAUGUGCUUGUUCGUCCAUGUUUGCGAUGUAUAUCUCUCAACCAAAGUACCUUGAAGGACACUCUGCCCUUGCACGCUCUUUUUAUAAUUUAGCUGCAGACAUAUGGAGCAGCUGAGUAUUUAUGUUUGUUUCUUUAAUGUGUGAAACUCUAACACAAGAUUGGUAUUUUAAAAUGUACUGAACCAUGUUCUUUUUAAAAAAGAAAAUCAAGAUGUCAAGAGAGACUUUCCAACAGUAUACACAGAGAGUAAGAUGCAUAGAAUUGGAAGCAGAAACAGCCAUGGGAGUAGGUCAUUCAGCAAGCAGACCAAUUAUUUAAGGUGUCUGUGACUUUGAACAGGUUUUAUAUAUUCUCCACCACCAAGUAGAAUCAAAGCUUCUUGGGGGGCAGUAUUUAAGCACUGUGUUUUUAAAAAUAAAAUCUUAUACUCUAGUAUAGCUCCUAGUAGAGUUUACACCUUUAGAAAAAUGCCAGUUUCAAGCCAGCUUGAAGAGGAGAACUGGAAAGCUAGGACAGAGUCUGUGAAACUGCUACAUUUCUGUGGUCAAGGAGCUUAGGUUGCUUUGGCACUUAUGCAGUAGCUUAAUUUAAAUAGUGACCUGAGAAAAUGCCUCAUAUUUACUUUAUUCAAAUCAUUCUAUUGUAUAUGUUUGGAUUAGCAUGCCAAGUCUAAAGAUUGAGCUUUAGAAAGCAACUGGUUGUAGUCAUUAGCUGCUAAGAAACAUACACACCUCAAUUCUGUUGUAAGUACCAUAGUAAUACCUCUUCCUCCUCGCUGAAGAAAUUCAUGGUCAGAGAGUUAAUGUUUUGUUUUUUUUUUCUCUUUCCUAAGUACCUUGAGACAUGUAAGUUGUGAAUGUACCAACAUCAUUAAUCUACCCAAAGGAAGGAAUCCACCUCCACAUAUUUGUAGAAAAUGGUUUAUGAACAUUUCAAAGACAAUGGAAUGGUGUUUUGAAUAGACAGCACUGUGGUUAAAAGAAAAGCUUGAGUGUUUCUUAGUCAGUCAUUUAUUCACCUUACUCAUGAAAAGGUAUGCCAGUGGCAUCAUGGUGGGCAGAACACUGUGCCAGUGACUGGAGGAAUAUGGGAACUGUGUGAAAUUGGUCAUGUUCUUCUGUGUGGUGAUUGUUUUUAAAGGAAUGACAGUCAAUUGGGAGAGAACUGUCAACCAUUCCUACUGGGUUUCCUUUCUAGAUGCUAGGAUUUCUGAGGUGAUUUCAUGCCAUUUUAGUUCUCCUGAUGUAAUUAUUAAGCAUCUACUGCUGAUUGUACACACACAACACACUGGAUAACGUGGCUGUCUGGCUUUGCUAGGCCUCUCAGUGUUGGAGAAAGGUGUAUACAUAAAUGAUUGAGGGGUGUUUGAGGGGCACAGAACAAGUCCUGCUCCUUGGGGUAGUGGUGGGGUGGGGGAACAAGUGAAUAAUUCCAGUUUGCUCUUUGAUGAGGGUACAACUCCUGGAACUCUCUGGGGUAGAACCCAAAUGGGCAGAAGUAAUAAUAACAUUGUAGAAGAAAGCAGUUGGAACAGACAUUGAUGGGUUUGGAGGUUUUGAUGUCUUUCUUCAAUCCCAUUCCAUUUAGAUUUUCGGGAAGGUGAAGCAGCAUAAUGGGACAAGUGGAGCAUGAUUCUUGUACUUAAGAAAUUUGGUGUUGAAUUCUAAUUGUGCCAGAAUUGCCUUGGGUUUUAUUAGACCUCUUGAAAGCUAAAUUUGCUUGUCUCCAAGAUGCUUUCUGUCUCUUGCAUCAUUUUUAGCAUGUGACAUGUUUCUUACUUUAGCUAACAGCUGGAGGUCACUCGAAGGAAACAAUUUGACAAAUCAACUUCAGAAUAAGCCCUUUGCAUCCAGUUGAAGAAUACACAGCAAUGUUUUGUAGAUGUAGCACACUGUGGAGCUUUUAAGGUCUCCGUGGUAACUAAGGGUUAAACAUACCUGUGAUUAAACUCCACUGCCAUGGUUUACUUUAUAUACUAAAGAAAUUCUUGGAAGUUUAUAGGGAAAUCUAAUGUCCUAAUUAAGUUAUAUUAUACAGGCACCAGGAAAACUGGUUUCCAAAGGCACUCCAGUCACACCUUUUAUUAAAAAAUGUUUUUAUAAGCAGAUAAUUAAUCCCUACUUAUCUGUUUAAUUUAAAAUUUUGCACCUAUGGCUGGGCUUCACUCCCAGCAUUUCACUUUGUAUACACAAAUGUGAGGACUCCACUUCAGAAUUGAGGUGAUUUGAAAACUCCCCAGGAAUAUGUAUAAAAUCUUCUUAGUUUGAAAGCCAAGUCAAACUUGUGAAAGGAAAACAUCUUUCUUUUGGAAAGGUGUUUCCUUUUUGUUCUUUUUCAGUGUAUUGGCUGGGUUCUGAGGAGACAUUUAUCACUCAUGUCAGUGUGUGUGUAUAUUGCAGUUCAGAGUGUUACCUGCUUACCUUAAUAAAACAAUGAAGCAUAGGUAUAAAUGAAGGAACAUGCGGAUCAGCCAUCAGUGCAUGAGUGGACUGAAUGCUAUGAAAUUGCAUACUUUUCUGUUGGAUGUUUCAUGGGAGAGACUUUGCUUAGAAGUUAGCUGAGUAAUCAUGUGAUCUUGGUAUAAAUGUUAAGCAUUCAGUAUGGCUUUGAGUCUGAACAAAAGAGCAAACAAGCCCUGGUGUGAUGAAGAAGGGAGCAGGAGCCUGGAGAUGCCUGAAGAUGUUGGUGAGAAUCACAACCUGGUGUGCAUGGGGGUGGUCUCCUCACCAACCCUUGGCACAGUGGGUUUCAUCUUCACCUUGAAGGAGAGCAGGCCAGACAAGACCUCAGCACAGCUUUGCAACUGUGUCCACCCUCUCUUCUCUUCUAAGAGUUCACUUGGAAGGCUUGGCAAUACUCAGCUUUCACGUCACUUCUGGCUUCCAACAUUCUAUAAAUGCUCUCAGAAAACAAAAGUCCAAGAGGAUUUCCUAUCCCCAGGACCUGGCCCAAGCUGAGAGAAGCUGUGUGGAGUGGAAGAUGGACAUUGAGGAAGAAGGGCAGGUGUGGUCUCACCCAGAAUGGUUCCUGCUGCUUCUGCGGUGCCCAGGCU